rnacentral:rRNA from 1 species
UGCAGUCGAACGGUGAAGGAGAGCUUGCUCUUUGGAUCAGUGGCGAACGGGUGAGUAACACGUGAGUAACCUGCCCUUGACUCUGGGAUAAGCACUGGAAACGGUGUCUAAUACCGGAUACGACCUUCCGCCGCAUGGUGAGGGGGUGGAAAGAAUUUCGGUCAAGGAUGGACUCGCGGCCUAUCAGCUAGUUGGUGAGGUAAUGGCUCACCAAGGCGACGACGGGUAGCCGGCCUGAGAGGGUGACCGGCCACACUGGGACUGAGACACGGCCCAGACUCCUACGGGAGGCAGCAGUGGGGAAUAUUGCACAAUGGGCGCAAGCCUGAUGCAGCAACGCCGCGUGAGGGACGACGGCCUUCGGGUUGUAAACCUCUUUUAGUAGGGAAGAAGCGAAAGUGACGGUACCUGCAGAAAAAGCACCGGCUAACUACGUGCCAGCAGCCGCGGUAAUACGUAGGGUGCAAGCGUUAUCCGGAAUUAUUGGGCGUAAAGAGCUCGUAGGCGGUUUGUCGCGUCUGCUGUGAAAACUGGAGGCUCAACCUCCAGCCUGCAGUGGGUACGGGCAGACUAGAGUGCGGUAGGGGGAGAUUGGAAUUCCUGGUGUAGCGGUGGAAUGCGCAGAUAUCAGGAGGAACACCGAUGGCGAAGGCAGAUCUCUGGGCCGUAACUGACGCUGAGGAGCGAAAGCAUGGGGAGCGAACAGGAUUAGAUACCCUGGUAGUCCAUGCCGUAAACGUUGGGAACUAGAUGUAGGGGCCAUUCCACGGUUUCUGUGUCGCAGCUAACGCAUUAAGUUCCCCGCCUGGGGAGUACGGCCGCAAGGCUAAAACUCAAAGGAAUUGACGGGGGCCCGCACAAGCGGCGGAGCAUGCGGAUUAAUUCGAUGCAACGCGAAGAACCUUACCAAGGCUUGACAUAUACCGGAAAAGUUCAGAAAUGUUCUCCCCGCAAGGUCGGUAUACAGGUGGUGCAUGGUUGUCGUCAGCUCGUGUCGUGAGAUGUUGGGUUAAGUCCCGCAACGAGCGCAACCCUCGUUCUAUGUUGCCAGCACGUUAUGGUGGGAACUCAUAGGAGACUGCCGGGGUCAACUCGGAGGAAGGUGGGGAUGACGUCAAAUCAUCAUGCCCCUUAUGUCUUGGGCUUCACGCAUGCUACAAUGGCCGAUACAAAGGGCUGCAAUACCGUGAGGUGGAGCGAAUCCCAAAAAGUCGGUCUCAGUUCGGAUUGAGGUCUGCAACUCGACCUCAUGAAGUCGGAGUCGCUAGUAAUCGCAGAUCAGCAACGCUGCGGUGAAUACGUUCCCGGGCCUUGUACACACCGCCCGUCAAGUCAUGAAAGUCGGUAACACCCGAAGCCAGUGGCCCA